GUGCUUGCUUCAGCAACACAUAUACAAAAACUGGAACGAUACCAAGAAGAUUAGCAUGACCCCUGCACAAGGAUGACACACAAAUUCAUGAAGCGUUAAAAUUAAAG
rnacentral:snRNA from 1 species